rnacentral:snoRNA from 1 species
CUCUAUGAUGAUUCUGAUUGAAUCUCAUUUGAUUCCACCUACGAGACUUUUAAAUCUGACUUAU